rnacentral:rRNA from 1 species
UACAGAGGGUGCAAGCGUUAAUCGGAGUUACUGGGCGUAAAGGGCGCGUAGGCGGUCUUAUAAGUUGGUUGUGAAAUCCCCGGGCUUAACCUGGGAACUGCAACCAAAACUGUAAGACUGGAGUACUGUAGAGGGUAGUGGAAUUUCCGGUGUAGCGGUGAAAUGCGUAGAGAUCGGAAGGAACACCAGUGGCGAAGGCGGCUACCUGGACAGAUACUGACGCUGAGGCGCGAGAGCGUGGGGAGCAAACAGG